GACGAACGCUGGCGGCGUGCCUAACACAUGCAAGUCGAACGGAAAGGCCCUGCUUGUGUGGGGUGCUCGAGUGGCGAACGGGUGUGUAACACGUGAGUAUCCUGGCCUUGACUGUGGGAUAACUUCAGGAAAGCGGUGCUAAUACCGGAUAGGAGCUCCUGCUGCAGGGUGGGGGUUGGAAAGCUUCGGCGGAGUGGGAUGGACGCGGGGCUUACCAGCUUGUUGGUGGGGUAGUGGCCUAGCAAGGCUUUGACGGGUCGCCGGCCUGGGAGGGUGACCACCCUCAUUGGGACUGCGGUACGCCCCAGACUCCAACGGUGGGCAGCAGUGGGGAACAUUGCACAAUGGGCGCGAGCCUGAUGCAGCAGCGCCGCGUGCGGGAUGACGGCUUUCUGGGUGUAAACCGCUUUCGCCUGUGACGAAGCUUGAGUGACGGUAAUGAGUAAAGAAGCACCGGCUAACUACGUG
rnacentral:rRNA from 1 species